rnacentral:rRNA from 1 species
UACGGAGGAGGCAAGCGUUAUCCGGAAUUAUUGGGCGUAAAGCGUCCGUAGGUGGCUCUUCAAGUCUGCUGUCAAAGAGUGGGGCUUAACCCUGCAAAGGCAGUGGAAACUGAAAGGCUAGAGAGCCGUAGGGGUAGAGGGAAUUCCCGGUGUAGCGGUGAAAUUCGUAGAUAUUGGGAAGAACACCGAUGGCGAAGGCAGCCAUCUGGACCGACACUGACGCUGAGGCGCGAAAGCGUGGGGAGCAAACAGG